rnacentral:rRNA from 1 species
GACGAACGCUGGCGGCGUGCCUAACACAUGCAAGUCGAACGGGGGUAGCAAUACCUCAGUGGCGAACGGGUGCGUAACACGUGAAGAAUUUGUCUAACGGCGGGGGAUAGCCGGCCCAACGGCCGGGUAAUACCGCGUACGACCUCUGGAGGGCAUCCUCUGGUGGUGAAAGCCGCAAGGCGCCGAUAGAGAACUUCGCGGCCUAUCAGCUAGUUGGCGGGGGUAAUGGCCCACCAAGGCGACGACGGGAGCUGGUCCGAGAGGAUGACCAGCCACAUUGGGACUGAGACACGGCCCAGACUCCUACGGGAGGCAGCAGUGGGGAAUUUUGGACAAUGGGCGCAAGCCUGAUCCAGCCAUGCCGCGUGCGGGAAGAAGGCCUGGUUGUAA